rnacentral:misc_RNA from 1 species
GAUGAAGAACGUAGCGAAAUGCGAUACGUAAUGUGAAUUGCAGAAUUCAGUGAAUCAUCGAGUCUUUGAACGCACAUUGCGCCCCCUGGUAUUCCGGGGGGCAUGCCUGUCCGAGCGUCAUUGCUGCCCUCAAGCACGGCUUGUGUGUUGGGCCUCCGACCUCCUCCCGGGGGACGGGCCCGAAAGGCAGCGGCGGCACCGCGUCCGGUCCUCGAGCGUAUGGGGCUUCGUCACCCGCUCUUGUAGGCCCGGCCGGCGCUUGCCGACACAUCAAUCUUUUUUCCAGGUUGACCUCGGAUCAGGUAGGGAUACCCGCUGAACUUAAGCAUAUCAAUAAGCGGAGGA